rnacentral:rRNA from 1 species
ACGGUCCUAAGGUAGCGAAAUUCCUUGUCGGGUAAGUUCCGACCUGCACGAAUGGCGUAACGACUUCCCCACUGUCUCGACCAGGAGCUCGGCGAAAUUGCAGUACGAGUAAAGAUGCUCGUUAAGCGCAGAAGGACGAAAAGACCCCGGGACCUUUACUAUACCUUGGUAUUGGCAUUCGGUGUGGAUUGUGUAGCAUAGGCGGGAGGCCGAGAGGCGCGGUCGCCAGAUCGCGCGGAGCCGUAAGGUGAAAUACCGCUCUGUUCGCAUUGGAUGUCUAACCUCGAACAGUCAUCCUGUUCAGGGACAGUGCCUGGCGGGUAGUUUAACUGGGGCGGUUGCCUCCCAAAGAGUAACGGAGGAGCACGAAGGUUGGCUAAUCCUGGUCGGACAUCAGGAGGUUAGUGCAAUGGCAUAAGCCAGCUUGACUGCGAGCGUGACGGCGCGAGCAGGUGCGAAAGCAGGUCAUAGUGAUCCGGUGGCUCUGAAUGGAAGGGCCAUCGCUCAACGGAUAAAAGGUACUCUGGGGAUAACAGGCUGAUACCGCCCAAGAGUUCAUAUCGACGGCGGUGUUUGGCACCUCGAUGUCGGCUCAUCGCAUCCUGGGGCUGUAGUCGGUCCCAAGGGUAUGGCUGUUCGCCAUUUAAAGAGGUACGUGAGCUGGGUUUAAAACGUCGUGAGACAGUUUGGUCCCUAUCUGCCGUGGGCGUUGGAAGAUUGACGGGGGCUGCUCCUAGUACGAGAGGACCGGAGUGGACGCACCUCUGGUGUACCGGUUGUCACGCCAGUGGCAUUGCCGGGUAGCUAAGUGCGGAAGAGAUAACCGCUGAAAGCAUCUAAGCGGGAAACUUGCCUGAAGAUGAGUCUUCCCGGAGGUUGAACCUCCCUCAAGAGUCGUCCGAGACCAGGACGUCGAUAGGUCAGGUGUGUAAGCGCUGCGAGGCGUUGAGCUAACUGAUACUAAUUGCUCGUGAGGCUUGAUCCU